UACGUAGGGUGCGAGCGUUGUCCGGAAUUACUGGGCGUAAAGAGCUCGUAGGUGGUUUGUCGCGUUGUUCGUGAAAACCUGAGGCUUAACCUUGGGCGUGCGGCGAUACGGGCAGACUGGAGUACUGCAGGGGAGACUGGAAUUCCUGGUGUAGCGGUGGAAUGCGCAGAUAUCAGGAGGAACACCGGUGGCGAAGGCGGGUCUCUGGGCAGUAACUGACGCUGAGGAGCGAAAGCGUGGGGAGCGAACCGG
rnacentral:rRNA from 1 species